GGGAUUACUAGCUGGAGCAUCGUGACCUCCGAGUGCAUAAAGACAACCAUUUACCACUCCGACGCCUACACCGCCUCGUCUCUUCGACAUAGCCACACCAACUGUAGAUCUUUGUAUGGACAUAGGGCAUAUUGAACUCCACUGGCGCGUUGCCGGAUCCCACCUCUCUACUGCAUCGAGAAAACUCCAACCAUCGUGACCACCAACGGCAUAUAAAGGUCCACCUAGGACUGCUACUCCUAAAGAAAAUUAUAAAAUAUUUACCAAAGAUUUUUAUAGUAUUUACCAAUUUUUAUUAUAAAUAAAAGUCGAUUGUUUUAAUUUCUUGGAAAACUUAUUUAUUUCGAAUAAACAUGUGUCUAUCUAUCUUUUUUAAUAAAUAAAUACAGAUAAUAGGUAUCUGUCGGUUAAAGCUUUCCAAUAAAUUGCAGCAAUCGCUUCUAAAUGAAAUGAAAUGAAA